CAGUAAACACCCAUACACUUCACUAAGAGAGAUCCCUUUCUUCUUUUCCUCUUUCUCGCUUCAACACCGUACUUGUAGCUCUCCUCCUCCAUGAAAUUAGGGCUUUCUUCUUUAAUACCUGACAGUCGAACCUAAAGCUCUACUCGUCCUAAUGUAAUUUCAAUAAUAGUCUCACCUAAAAUUGGUUCAGCAGUUGUCUCCUACUAAAUCCCCACUCACAAGCACAUAGGCAUAUACCUCUCGGCUUCUUCUUUGGGUGGGGAUGAUUUUAGAAAGAAACUCAUGGCAGUCAAUUCUUACUUUGGAAAGACUAUUGACGAAGAGGGUGAGUAUAAGAAUAAGAAGAAGAAAGAUAUGUUGUUCGACAAUGAAUUUAGUAUUUUAUUUUAUUUGUAAUUUUUAGUAGAGUAAAAGAUUCUUUUUUGAGUGGUUAAUUAUUUACUUUGGUUGUGUUUGGUGAAAUUUUUGAUUUUGAAUUUAUUAAACACAAAAAUAGAAAUAUUAUUUUUA